UUUCAGCAAUCAAAAACGUGAUGAUCAUCUUCUUCAUGAAAGGAAAAUUUCAAAUCCCAUAACUUUUUCGUUUCUCGUCGGAAUUGAGCGAUUUUUGCGGCCACGGAACGAGAAAAUGAUUAUCUACAGAUCUAUAGCUUCAAUUUGAGGAGCUAUGAUUAUGGAAUUUUGAUGGUUGUUCAUGGAGGAAUUCAUUCAGCCAAAGGGUUAUACCAUCAAACAAAGACCGGACGAGUGACUAUCGAUACGGCUCGAGGCGAACGGAUUGAGAUAUCGUUGUGCUUAUUUGAAGAAUUUGGAUAGCAAGUGGAAUAGCAUGAUAUGAUUUGGAAAGUCAAGCUUCCGAAGUUUUAAAUUCUCGGAAGUCAUUUUCAGAAGAAGUUAAAGAAUGUUUUCAUUCUAGCGGUCCGCAGUAGUCUAUAUGUUUUUGUCUAUGUAUUUAUCUAGCGCAUUUUAACUCUGAUAUUUUUGUAAAAUGGGGUCACAUGUAUUUUGAUAUAUGAAAGAUGAUUUGAUUUGCAAAAAAUUUACACAGGAUUUUAGGCUUGCUACGGGUUUCGGAGCUACCACUCCCAUUCCCUAGCGCCGGUCGCGACUCAUAAAUUUGGGUCGUG